GGGUUUUAGGAACUCUCUGAUAAGUUAAAGAAUCUAUUGUUCUUUUAUGAGCUAACAGGGAGUUGGCACUUUCAAAACCAAUAGAUGGAGAUUAACCUAUAAAAAAGAAUUAAUCAGAAUAUAAACAAUGGCAGAAAUUUAAAGACAGAAUUUCCGUUCCCAUGGCUGAAGGAUCCAUUUCUUUGCUGUUUCCUUAAAAACUUCUUUUGCGUUUCCUUCUCAUCACUGUGUUUUGUUGAUCCUUGCUCCUCAAUUCUCCUGCCAGCCAUUUUCCCUGGAAAUGUUCUAUCAUUAACAAAUGUCUGAGGGUUUAAUGUUCUCUCUGAAAGUUCCGAAAAUGACAUAGACAAUGUCUAAUUAUUAGCUUGCACAGUAUGACCAGCAUCAACAUUGUUACAUUUUGCAUAAUUUCAUGGACAGAAUCUGUUUUACUUAAAUAUCAUCAGAGGAAUUUACUCUAGAUCAAUGGGCAGGCUGGUAGCAAUUUUAAGAUGAUUGUGUAGACAUAGCCUAUACCAGGGGCAAAUCCAUCUCAUCUUAAGUGAUCAAAAAAGAAGUGGCACAAUGUUUUGAUAUAUUAAUUGAGAUGGAGUCUUCCUACAUUGCCCAAGCUGAUCUUGAACUCCUGGGCUAAAGUGACCCUCCUGCCUUGGCCUCCCAAAAUGCUGGGAUUAUAUGCCUCCCCAGUAGGAGCUAAAACGCAAUGUGAAAGUGAGAAAAUAAUGAAACAGAACAAUCCUACAGCAUCCCAAGAAGAAGUGGAAAACACUUUUCAAUGUGAGUUGGAUGACUUUAUGUCUGCUGAUACACCGUGAGCUAUGGCCCUUGUUGAAAAUGCAGGGAGAUUGGAACCAUAUUCUCUGCGCUGACGUAGUUGCUGGAAGUUAAGAAUAUACAUGUUUUAAAAAAAUGUUAUCAGACCUAUUUUCCAACCAUUUAUUUUUCCCUUCCAAAAACCAUAGUAAUAACCUUUCCUAGCUACAUAAAAACUGCAUUUGUGCCAAAAGAAUUGCAGCAGCAUAUGCUAAUUCAGUGCUGUAGUAACUGCAUGUCUUGAUAACGCCUUAGAAAUGAAAACAGCCCUCAUAGGGUUUGGAUCUACCCUUUAAGCAAAUCCUGACUAGGAAGGUAAGUGGUGUUGCCUGUAUCAAAGCCCACAACUCCCUGUCCUGUUCAGGGUUGGACAAGAUCCCUUGGCAGCACUCUGUCAAACUCAAGA
rnacentral:lncRNA from 13 species